AAAAAAAAGACCUUUUUCACAGGAAAAAGUCAGAAAUGCUCCCAAUAUAGAAAUAAGACAGAGAGAUCCAACUGUCUACAGCCAGCACCCCAGGCCAUGCGCCCCUAUCAGUGGAGGCUAGGUCUCAAGGUGACCAAUAAGCCUCAUCCAAGCUGCCGUUUGUUGGCCUAAAAAGAGAAGAACUCUGCAGAAAGGUUUGGAUUCUGAAGACACAGAAAUUUAUUCUGCAUAGUGUAUUUAGUCAGCUCUGCAACUUCCUCUAGCCUAAAUUGUAUAAAGAUAUUAAUCAUAUACAGGAGGCCCUUUUCACCACCCCAACCAAUUUGCAAUGGUACUGAAUAUGGGAAGUGUCUUGAAGUGUCUUAUGGGGACAGUCAAUACCAGACAAAAAUUAAUAAUUAUCCUUUCAGCAUUGAGCAUGAUAGAGGAUGGGGCAACUGGGAGUUAAGGGCUAAUAGCAGAGCAAUCUGGACGCACAGAUGGUGCUACUUGUUCUAUCUUGUCUGUUAAUCAUCAUAUAUUUAAAGAGAUUCAGUCAGUGCUGGAAGUGUUUUUAGGUUCAUCACUAGUGAUCUCACAAGCCCAAAUAAAGCUUCCAAAGCAACGAGCUUUUUUCGCUUUACUGUACACUGGGUGCAUACACCCACAUGCAGAUCUGUAAAUGCAAGUCAAAUUUAACUCACAGUAAAGUCUUCUGGUUCCUAUUUGUUUGCUUUAGACCACAGAAGUAUUUUUCCCAAUUCCAUCAUGCUAUCUUCUAAUGGUUCAAAUACGAGAGAGCAAAGAAAUAAUUAUAUCAUUAUAAUUUUGUCAACACUUGAGUAUCUAAAUAUUGCCUGUAGCAAGCAAAUUUAACACUAAAUAAAGAAUCCUCAGAGAAAGAGAGGAGCGCAUUUCACAGCAAUAUGCUCAACAUUUAAAUUGUACAUCACAACUGACUUUUUGUUUUUUAAACAGAUACAUAUUCGUCCAUAACCAAUGUGUCAUAAUACAAUGGAACCUCAGAUCUAAUGAUUUGACUAAUAAAUACAAGCCACCUUUCCAACAUUUCUGAACAAACAAGGAAUGCGUUUUUACGUUAAAAAAACAAUUGUAGCAACUUAGUAUUUAAGGUAGUUGUAGCAGAAAUGCUAAGUUAAGACUUGAACCAGUGACUGAGCAGCUGGUGGGAAGGCAGGGCCGACCCAGGGGAGCUCAGGUGUAUGCAAUGCAUCUGAGUGACUGGAAGAGGUGGAAUCAGGAUCCGCCUCAUCCCAGACUUCAUUUAAGAGUUGGCAGAGGAGACAAGGAGAACUUUCUGGGGACCCCUGACCAUCUGAGGCUUUCCAAAGAUCAUGAAUAACACCUGAAUUAGUCACCAUCAAAGUAGAAGCUCAAAUUCACUAAGGAGCAAAGCUUACCACAAAUGUUAACCGUAGACAACCAUACUGAAGCAAGAUAAAUUGAAUCACCCUGGAAGUCAAAGAGCAUGUCUUUAUCUGCAAUUUGGAGAUGAAAUGAACCACACUUCUGGAGAAUGAUGAUGUUAAAAGUCUGAGUUUAAGGAUCUCUCAACUUGAUUGCUGUUCUACUUCAAAGACAUAAAAAUCCUAAGUUCCUGAAAAUGAAUAUUCACGUGCAAGAGUGGAGUUUUGUGUUGCUUUUCAUGUAGAUAAGUUGGUUCAUUGAGUUGCUGCACAACAGCUGCAGAAGUACAAAGAAGGGACUAGUGGAGGAACAUAAAAACAUGUUUAACCAUGAUCACAUCAGCAGUGCUGUCAAAACACAGUCUGCUGUCUCAUGAGGAAUCAGACAAGUGAGUUGUCAAUUGUGCUUUAAAGCUUUUCUUUCCAGUGACAUGUACUGGAUUAUUCUGUACCAUUGUGCAAAACUGUGUCAAAUAACUAAAAGUGAAAAGUUCACCUGUAAACGAGUGUCACAGUACCAAUAAAAGAAGAAUUAUUUAGCUCAGGUGCAAAGCCUUCUAAAAUACUGUGUGCCAAAUCUUCACUGCAGCUAAAUCCAAAUUAUUGCUGGUUCAAUUCUAAUUACUAAUCCAAAACUGUAGUAUCUGAUACAGUCAAUACACAUUAUCCGCUCUGUGAAAAUUUAAAAAAUGACAAACCUCAAGUUGUAGAUUUCAUAAGGGCAUAAAUAGGAAUCAGUUACUUCAGUUUUUUGUUUUUCUA